rnacentral:rRNA from 1 species
UCCCGUUGAUCCUGCGGGAGAUUGCUGCUAUUUGGAUUCGACUUAGCCAUGCAAGUCCAGGGGUCUCUUCGGAGGCACCGGCAAAAUGCUCAGUAACACGUUGUUAAUCUAACCUUAGGUCAAGGAUACCCUUGGAAAACUGAGGCUAAACCUUGAUAUGGGAGAAAUACUGGAAGGUUUUCUCCUUGAAAGGCAACGCCUAAGGAUGAGACAGCGGCUGAUUAGGCUGUUGGUGAGGUAACGGCUCACCAAACCAGAGAUCAGUACGGGCCAUGAAAGUGGAAGCCCGGAGAAGGGCACUGAGAUAAGGGCCCUAGCCCUACGGGGUGCAGCAGGCGCGAAAACUCUACAAUGCACGAAAGUGCGAUAGGGGAAUCCUAAGUGCUUAUGAUUUUAUCAUAGGCUUUUUGCGAGAGUAAAUAUCUCGUAGAAUAAGUGGUGGGUAAGACGGGUGCCAGCCGCCGCGGUAACACCUGCGCCACAAGUGGCAGUCAGCAUUAUUGGGCCUAAAGCGUUCGUAGCCGGACUGAAAAGUUCUCUGUGAAAUCAUCGAGCUAAACUCGAUGGCAUGCGGAGAAUACUCUCAGUCUAGGAACCGGGAAGAGUAUGAGGUAUUCUGGGGGGGGCGGUAAAAUGCUAUAAUCCUCAGAGGACCACCUAUGGCGAAGGCAUCAUACUGGAACGGAUUCGACGGUGAGGAACGAAAGCUAGGGGAGCGAUCCGGAUUAGAUACCCGAGUAGUCCUAGCCGUAAACGCUGUGAGCAAGGCGUUUCAAAUUUUAAGUGAAUUUGCAGUGUCGAAGAGAAGUCGAUAAGCUCACCGCCUGGGAAGUACGGUCGCAAGACUGAAACUUAAAGGAAUUGGCGGGGGAGCGCUACAAGAGGUGGAAUGUGCGGUUUAAUCUAACUCAACGCAGAGAGCCUCACCAGAAGCGACGGCAGGAUGAAAGUCAGAUUGAAGGUCUUACUUAACGAGCCGAGAGGUAGUGCAUGGCCGCCGUCAGCUCGUGCCGCAAGGUGUCCAGUUAAGUCUGGUAACGAGCAAGACCUGCAUCUACAGUUGCUAACGAGUUCUUUAGAAUGAUCGAGCACACUGUAGAGACUGCUAUGGAAACGUAGAGGAAGGUGCAGGCAACGGUAGGUCUGUAUGCUCCGAAUCUUCUGGGCGACACGCGCAUUACAAUGGCAGAGACAAUGGGCCACGACUCCGAAAGGAGAAGUUAAUCCUCGAAACUCUGUCUUAGUCCGGAUUGAGGGUUGCAACUCACCCUCAUGAAGCUGGAAUCUCUAGUAAUCACGUCUCAACAUGGCGUGGUGAAUACGUCCCCGCUCCUUGCACACACCGCCCGUCAAACCACUCGAGCAGGGUUUGAAUGAGAACCGAUUUUCUUGGUUAGUUCGAAUUCAAGCUCAGUGAGAUGGGUUAAGUCGUCACAAGGUA